AGCCGUCUAAGGUGGGACAGAUGAUUAGGGUGAAGUCGUAACAAGGUAGCCGUAGGAGAACCUGCGGCUGGAUCACCUCCUUUCUAAGGAA
rnacentral:rRNA from 1 species